GCCUAACACAUGCAAGUCGAGCGAUUCUCUUUGGAGAAGAGCGGCGGACGGGUGAGUAACGCGUGGGUAACCUGCCCUGUACACACGGAUAACAUACCGAAAGGUAUGCUAAUACGGGAUAACAUAAGAAAUUCGCAUGUUUUUCUUAUCAAAGCUCCGGCGGUACAGGAUGGACCCGCGUCUGAUUAGCUAGUUGGUGAGGUAACGGCUCACCAAGGCGACGAUCAGUAGCCGACCUGAGAGGGUGAUCGGCCACAUUGGAACUGAGACACGGUCCAAACUCCUACGGGAGGCAGCAGUGGGGAAUAUUGCACAAUGGGCGAAAGCCUGAUGCAGCAACGCCGCGUGAGCGAUGAAGGCCUUCGGGUCGUAAAGCUCUGUCCUCAAGGAAGAUAAUGACGGUACUUGAGGAGGAAGCCCCGGCUAACUACGUGCCAGCAGCCGCGGUAAUACGUAGGGGGCUAGCGUUAUCCGGAUUUACUGGGCGUAAAGGGUGCGUAGGCGGUCUUUUAAGUCAGGAGUGAAAGGCUACGGCUCAACCGUAGUAAGCUCUUGAAACUGGAGGACUUGAGUGCAGGAGAGGAGAGUGGAAUUCCUAGUGUAGCGGUGAAAUGCGUAGAUAUUAGGAGGAACACCAGUAGCGAAGGCGGCUCUCUGGACUGUAAC
rnacentral:rRNA from 1 species